ensembl:lncRNA
AUGAAUGAGCAUCAGCUGCUGAAAAAUCUUGAGAACAACUCAUUAGUUACAAGCCCACCAGAAGAGACUGAUGCCACUGUAGAUCCUCAGGCUGCUGCUGAGACAUUAAGAAGAAGUCAGAGAACACGUAAACUCACAGCAAAAGGCCAAGAGCUCCAAGAUAGUAAGUCCAAAAGGCUUCAGCAUCUCUUCACAGUUGCUUAUGACAAGUGGAAAACACAAGCUAAAGAGGUUAAGAAAGCUCUUAACAAGUCUACGUCCAGUGAGCUCCUUAGAGAACUUGUGAGUACGACUUGUAAGGCUUCAACAGAUGUGAAACAGACCUAUGAAGACUUAAGACAAUAUUGUACUCCUGAUGGUGAAACACGCCGCAGAGUAGAUACUUGUGAUGCUAUCUCAAAACAAAUUGAAGAAUAUGCAUCUAAUCUUCUUGAAGAGAAAGACAAAGAACAGGGUGCAAAUAGUGAUCAAGUACACUGGGAUGGAACUAGUUCAGUGCUUUCAUCUGCUAUAUCCUCAAGGUUUAAGUCAAGAUCAAAAGGUUCAAAAUCUGCAAGCAGUUCAUAUGUAAGCACGCGACACUCAAGCUUGUGCUCUGCAAUGAAACAAGACGCUGCAGCUGAGCUAGCUGCUACUCGAGCUACCUUGCAAGCUUUAAAAGAAAUAGAGUGUGAAAAACAAAAGCUUGAAAGUUUAGAGGUAGAAAACAAACAGAGGCUUGCACUACAAGAAGCUGAAAAUAUUGCAAGACAGAAUACACUAGAAGAAAAGCGCAGAGAGAUUUUACGUUUAGAGACAGUUAAGCAGAUGAAUGCUGCUAAAGCCAGACUACAGGUCUAUGAACAAGGAGAUAACUCAGAUGAAGAGAUAUCAGAGUUGCUUUAUAGCACAAGGCUAAAUCAAAGCACACCUGUGCCCAAGAAAGAGAGACCUCCAGUGCAAUGCACAGCAUCACCACUAGUGACACAGGUCCAGUCUGCAAGUAACAGUAAACCUGAUAACAGUGCGAUCUCACUUGCUGAAGCAAUAGCAGAGUCAAUUAAUUCAAGCCGUCUCCCAGCACCAGAGCCAUCUAUCUUUACUGGAGACCCAUUAAGAUACAAAGACUGGAAGAUGUCUUUUCAAACACUGAUUGGCAGGAAGAACAUCCCAGUAAAUGAGAAAGUCUACUACCUCCGCAAAUAUGUUGGUGGAUCAGCAAGGAAAGCCAUUGAGAGUUAUUUCCUGCUUAGUACAGAUGAGGCUUACCAUUCAGCUUGGGAAGUCUUGGAGGAGAGAUAUGGAAGUCCCUUUGUCAUUGCCAAGGCAUUUAGAGACAAGCUCAACUCAUGGCCAAAAAUAGGCCCUAAAGAAAGCAUAGAGCUAAGAGAGUUUUCAGAUUUCUUACGAGCUUGUGAAGCAGCAAUGUCUCAGGUUAAGUGCCUUGAAAUAUUAAAUGAUUGUAGUGAAAACCAGAAAAUGAUAACUAAGCUUCCUGAUUGGCUGGCAGCCAGAUGGAACAGAAAGGUCAUUGAGUUUGAGGAAGAAAGAAAGAUGUUUCCUACAUUCAAUCUGUUUGUCGACUUUGUCACAAGGGAAGCAAAGAUUGCUUGUAAUCCAGUGACAUCUCUACAUGCUCUGAAGUCUGGUGAUGGAGAAAAGAUGAAGACAUUAAAGAUUCGGAGUGUUGGAGCAAAGGUUUUGACGAGCAACUCUGAAGAAGCCUCAGAUACCAAGUCAUGCAUCUUUUGUGAGAGGUCAACACACAGCCUUCAUACCUGUCGAAAGUUCAUGGAAAGGUCAGUAGCUGAACGAGUCAAGUUUGUGCAAAAUAAGAAAUUAUGUUUUGGUUGUCUUAAAGCAGGACACCAUUCAAAGAACUGUGCACAAAGGAACAUCUGUGAUGUGUGUAAGGGAAAGCACCCAACAUGUUUACAUGAGGACCGCACCAAAGAGGACAAAAGAGAAACACAGAGAGACAAUGAAAAAAAGGAAAGUGGAAAACAUUCAAAGGACAAAGAAAGGUCAAAGGAAAGGACAGAUAUUAAGCAGGCAGAAGCAACAUCUAACCAAGUGGUGCAAAAUAAAACCGGCAUAUUCACAUCCACUGUUGUUCCUGUGUGGUUGUCCACAACAAGCGAUCCAGAGACUGAACUCCUUAUCUAUGCGCUGUUGGACAGUCAAAGUGACACGACCUUCAUACUGGAGGAGAAGGCAAACCUUCUAAAAACGCAAAGUAAGCCUGUACAAUUAAAGUUGUCUACAAUGUCACACAAGGUAGCAGUUAUUCCAAGUCAAAGGUUAACUGGGUUGCAGAUGAGAGGUUUUUACUCAUCAAAGAAAAUCACUCUCCCAGAAACAUACUCAAGAGACUUCAUUCCUGCUAAUCUAAGUCACAUCCCUACCCCCAAAACAGCAAGAGCAUGGCCACACCUAGAGCAUCUUGCUGAAGAGAUUCCCCCUUUAAUCGAAUGUGAUGUGGGUCUGCUCAUUGGCUAUAAUUGCUCUCAAGCACUGCUACCUAGGGAAGUUGUGUCAGGCAAAGACAAUGAGCCAUUUGCUCAAAGAACAGACCUCGGUUGGAGUAUUGUCGGCUGUGUCAACCCCUGUCUUGACUAUGGCGAUGCGAUUGGAGGCAGCCACAGGGUUGCGGUGAGACAAGUGACACCUCAGCCUAUGUCAUCCACCACUCUCCUGAGUGAAGUGCGAUACAUAUGCAGAACACAAGUCAAAGAACUAAUCACUACACCUGACGUGCUAAGAGUGCUGGAGUCAGACUUCAAUGAAAGAACAGGAGAGGAAGCUCACUUCUCCCAAGAGGAUUUGCGCUUCAUAUCAAUAAUUGAGGAAAGAAUUAAAUUCAAUGAAGAUGGUCACUGUGAAAUGCCUUUGCCGUUCAAGGAGAAUAGCCCAAACCUGCCAGACAAUAAGAAAUGUGCAGAGCAUCGCCUCGGCUGUCUGAAGAGGAGAUUUGAAAGGGACAAGCAGUACCAUGAACAUUAUGUAACCUUCAUGAAUGAGACCAUUGCUCACAAAGAUGCUGAGAAAGUGCCAGGAAGUGAACUGAACAAAAGCCCUGCCUGGUACAUCCCUCACCAUGGGGUGUAUCACCCGCAAAAACCUGGAAAGAUAAGAGUCGUAUUCGACUGCUCAGCAAGGUUUCAAGGCGUGUCAUUAAAUGAUCACUUGCUUACCGGGCCAGACCUUACCAACACUUUGAUAGGCGUCCUUUGCAGGUUUCGCCAGGGCCCAGUAGCAGUAAUGUGCGACAUUGAGCGCAUGUUUCACCAAUUUCACGUAAGAAAGGAAGAUCAAGACUAUUUAAGGUUCCUUUGGUGGGACAAUGGAGACUUUCAAACCCAACCAUCAGUGUACAGAAUGAGAGUACAUUUAUUUGGAGCUGCUUCAUCACCCGGCUGCGCAAACUAUGGUCUCAGGCACAUCGCAGCCCAAGGACGAGGUCAAUUCAGUGAAGCAUCAAUCCACUUCAUUGAAAGAAACUUUUACGUGGACGAUGGCCUGAUAAGUGUCUCAACAAAGGAGGAAGCAGUCCAGUUGAUCAGUGAAUCAAGACAGCUCUGUAACAAUGGAAAGCUACGAAUCCAUAAGUUCAUUUCCAACCACCCAGAAGUGCUUGCAUCAAUUCCCAAGGAGGAAUGUGCAGAAAUGACACAAGGUCAAGACUUGUCAUUAGGUGAACCACAGAUUGAGAGAGCUUUAGGGGUGAAAUGGUGUGUUGCCUUAGAUCAGUUUAGGUUCAGAGUAGUUGUGAACGAGCGUCCUCUCUCAAGAAGAGGAGUAUUGUCCACAGUAGCGUCCAUUUUCGAUCCACUUGGUCUGGUGGCGCCUUUCAUUCUGACAGGAAAACAAAUACUUCAACAAAUGUGUCAAGAUAAGGCAGGAUGGGACGAACCGCUGUCUGAUGAACUUCGACCACGAUGGGAAUCAUGGCUUUUGGACCUGCAACAUCUAGCUGAUGUUAAGGUGCAGCGAUGUUACCUUCCAGAGAACUUUAAGGAAGUCUUAAGAUAUGAACUCCAUCACUUCUCUGAUGCGAGUGUCACAGGCUAUGGAGAAUGUACUUACUUGAGGUCCAUCAGUGCAUCUCAAAAGAUACACUGUGCCUUAGUCAUGGGCAAAGCCAGGGUAGCUCCAACAAAGAUUACCACAGUACCAAGACUCGAGCUGUCGGCUGCUGUUGUUGCUGUCCGUACAAGUGAAUUCCUGAGAAAGGAGUUGGAAGUAAAUGCCCAGGAUUUUUUCUGGACCGACUCAAAGGUCGUUCUGGGAUAUGUCAACAAUGACGCCAGACGCUUCCACGUAUUUGUGGCUAAUCGUGUUCAGCGUAUCAAGGAAAGUACAACUGCAAGCCAAUGGAGGCACGUGACCUCUGAGAAAAACCCAGCUGAUCAUGCCUCAAGGGGUCUCAAGGCAAAAGAGCUCAUAUCUUCCAACUGGCUCACUGGGCCGGAUUUUCUCUGGAAUGAAGAACUACCAAGUGGAGAUAGUAUGGUGGGAGAUAUUGCAGCUGAUGACCCAGAAGUUCGAAAGGUCAUUGUACAUAAAACAUUGGCAACUGAAAGUUUACUGCUUGAUCGUUUUUUAAAGUUUUCUAGCUGGACGAGGCUAACUAAAGCUGUUGCCAGACUUAAGCGAUGUGUCAAGGAGUAUAAGGGUUUGACACCACGAACCAAUGAAGCAUCAAGCAUUGAAGAGAGAAAGGAUGCAGAACUUACAAUCAUAGGCCUUGCUCAAAGAGCAGCCUUUCAUGAGGAAAUCCAGCGCCUUCAGCAUGAGAAGGAAGUGACUGUGAAGGAUAAUGUCAACAGACUACAUCGACUGAAUCCUUUCUUGGAUGAAUGUGGUAUACUUAGGGUGGGAGGUCGUCUUAAGCAUGCUGCUUUGCAUCCAUACAUUAAGCAUCCAGCAAUCUUGCCAAAGAGUAGCCACAUAUCUAAGCUAUUGAUCAGACAUUACCAUCAACAAGUACAACACCAAGGACGUGGAAUGACAAUGAACGAGCUCAGAUCCAAUGGCAUCUGGAUCGUUGGUUGUAGCCAGGCUGUGUCAUCGUACAUUUACAAGUGUGUGAAGUGUAGGAAGUUUAGAAGGAGCACUGAAAACCAAAAGAUGGCAGACUUACCCAGUGAACGCAUGGAAGCAACUCCUCCCUUUACUUAUUGUGGGAUGGACUGCUUUGGUCCUUUCUACAUUAAGGAUGGAAGAAAGGAGCUGAAACGUUAUGGUUUGUUAUUCACCUGCUUGUGUUCUCGUGCUGUGCAUAUAGAGGUGCUUGAUGAUAUGACAAGUGAUGGUUUUAUCAACGCCCUUCGUGCAUUCAUUGCUUUGCGUGGACACGUACGACAACUUAGAUCAGAUCAAGGAACCAACUUUGUUGGCGCAAGACGUGAGUUUCUGGACACUGUUAAAGAGAUGAAUCAAGAGUGCCUGAAGCAACUUGGUUGCGAGUUCAUCUUUAACACUCCCUCUGCAAGCCACAUGGGUGGAAUCUGGGAGCGGCACAUAAGAACAAUAAGAAGUGUGUUGGCGUCCAUUCUGGACCAGUCAUCCAAAGGUCUUGAUGGCUCAUCUUUGAGGACCUACUUUUAUGAAAUCAUGGCAAUCAUAAACAGCAGACCUUUAACUGCUCACCUGCUUAAUGAUCCAGCCGGACCACAACCUCUUACACCCAAUCACAUCUUGACCAUGAAGUCGUCAGUGAUCUUGCCUCCGCCCGGAGAGUUUGUGAGAGAGGAUUUGUACCUUCGCAAAAGAUGGCGUAGAGUGCAAUACUUGGCAAAUGAGUUUUGGUCUAGAUGGAAAAAGGAGUAUCUAUUAAACUUACAAUAUAGACAGAAAUGGCACAAAACACGCAGAAAUGCAAAGGUCAAUGACAUAGUCAUUGUGCGAGAUGACACUGCACCACGUAACGAGUGGAAGAUGGCUAAGGUCACCAAGGUGUAUCCUGACAAAGAUGGAUGUGUGAGAAAGCUGCAGUUGCUGAUCAGUGACUCGGCACUGGACAAUCAAGGAAAGAAAGUCACAAGGCCGCUCUAUUUAGAGAGACCUAUUCACAAAACAGUUACACUGUUAGAGGCCGACUAG